GACGAACGCUGGCGGCGUGCCUAAUACAUGCAAGUCGAACGCACAGUUUAUACCGUAGCUUGCUACACCAUAGACUGUGAGUUGCGAACGGGUGAGUAACGCGUAGGUAACCUGCCUGGUAGCGGGGGAUAACUAUUGGAAACGAUAGCUAAUACCGCAUAAUAUUGAUUAUUGCAUGAUAAUUGAUUGAAAGAUGCUAUUGCAUCACUACCAGAUGGACCUGCGUUGUAUUAGCUAGUAGGUGAGGUAACGGCUCACCUAGGCGACGAUACAUAGCCGACCUGGGAGGGUGAUCGGCCACACUGGGACUGAGACACGGCCCAGACUCCUACGGGAGGCAGCAGUAGGGAAUCUUCGGCAAUGGACGAAAGGCUGACCGAGCAACGCCGCGUGAGUGAAGAAGGGUUUCGGAUCGUAAAGCUCUGUUGUAAGAGAAGAACGGGUGUGAGAGUGGAAAGUUCACACUGUGACGGUAUCUUACCAGAAAGGGACGGCUAACUACGUG
rnacentral:rRNA from 1 species